AGAAAAGCCCCAGAGAGAGUGGCUUCAGCCUCAUACCAUAAGGCACUCUGGAGUUGGUCCUGACUCGGGGGCCUGUCAGUCAUUGGCCGAGGGCCAGGCUUUGGGGUGUCGACUCCCACACAGCUCAGCUCCCUGAAGAUGUGGGCACGGUGGUGGUGGGGGCUGCUGAAGAGUUGCAGAUGCAGCCGCUGGAGGGGAGGCUGAGGUCAGCAGCCAGGCUCACAGGGACGGCAAUGGGAUGGGAAGCAACACCUGACAGGCUCAGCUACAGGUGCUGACAGAUUCACAGGCAGGUGGCAGAAGGCAGUCAAAUAAAUGAGACGAUACAGCGCCCUCCCCGCGACCACACACACACCGCUCACGCCUGUGAGGACAUGGAAGCACAGGGAGGUUAUGCCACUCGCCCAAAGACAAACAACUAAUCGGCUCUGCUUCCUCAGUGUCAGCAUCAUUCACAGUGGGCAUGUCCCUCUUGCCUCCAAGAGAGUCACCAGCAGCUUCCUCCUCCACAUCUGU